UCGGAAUGUAACCCGAAUUAUUGUUCGGAAUCUGAUAAAAUUUUUUAUCAUGUUAUGAUCCUUUCUACCUUAGUAGAUCGGUGGCUACAUGUUAUCAGCUGACGGGUUGUUUCAAUUGUCUAUGGUUUUAUAGUAUAGUAAACUGUAGGAUUCAUAUACUUCCUAUAUUGUAGAGUUGUGCCAGCUUUAGAAAGAAACAGCUUUUGGUGUACGGUGGCUCAUGAGAUUGACACACAAAAAUCAAUUGGAACAAAUUUCGCUGUGGUUAUAAAGAAGAAACAGCAAAAUUUUCUAGAUUAUAUAUUAUAGGAGAAAAUCAAAAUGAACCACAAAAAUGUUUCUCCAAUAAAAGAAGCGAAAGAGACGUUUCAAAGUCUUCUAGAACUUUCACGACUAUUGUGUACAGGAUUAGAACCAGAAACCUUGGCAAUAUGUGUUAGACUCUGUGAAACUGGUGUUAAUCCCGAAUUACUAGCAAUGGUUCUUAAAGAAUUGAAAAAAGAAGUUCAAAUUGCAGAAGAAAACACAGAGGAAUAGUGGUCUUCUAAGAGCGCACUUUUAAAUUGUGUGUAUCAAAUUUUCAUAUUAGUUUUUAUGUAUGUUAUUAAAAAUAAAUUUGUUUUUUAUCAACCAUGCAA